GUGGGGAAUAUUGGACAAUGGGCGAAAGCCUGAUCCAGCCAUGCCGCGUGUGUGAAGAAGGUCUUCGGAUUGUAAAGCACUUUAAGUUGGGAGGAAGGGCAGUAAGUUAAUACCUUGCUGUUUUGACGUUACCGACAGAAUAAGCACCGGCUAACUUCGUGCCAGCAGCCGCGGUAAUACGAAGGGUGCAAGCGUUAAUCGGAAUUACUGGGCGUAAAGCGCGCGUAGGUGGUUUUGUAAGUUGGAGGUGAAAUCCCCGGGCUCAACCUGGGAACUGCCUCCAAAACUGCAUGACUAGAGUACGGUAGAGGGUAGUGGAAUUUCCUGUGUAGCGGUGAAAUGCGUAGAUAUAGGAAGGAACACCAGUGGCGAAGGCGACUACCUGGACUGAUACUGACACUCAUGCACGAAAGCGUGGGGAGCAAACAGGAUUAGAUACCCUUGUAGUCC
rnacentral:rRNA from 1 species